rnacentral:rRNA from 1 species
CGACGUGGUCAACCUUCCGUUGAAUGGGGGAUAACUAGCCGAAAGGUUAGCUAAUACCGCAUACGAUCUUUUGAAGGCAUCUUUAAAAGAUGAAAGGAGCAAUCCGUUCAACGACGGGACCGCGUCCCAUUAGCUAGAUGGUGGGGUAAUGGCCUACCAUGGCAACGAUGGGUAGCUGGUCUGAGAGGAUGAUCAGCCACACUGGGACUGAGACACGGCCCAG